CCUCCCCCCGACUAAGGGCUGAGUUUUCGCCCCUUCUGGAAUCCUUUCAACGAAGGACAAAGUUUAGAGUGGAUGAAAAUCAAGAGGAGCCCGUCCUGAGCAGAACACUGGUCGUGGGAGAACGGGCUCCAGCAGGGUAGCAUCGCGGAGCACCUACUCGCUGCUAGGCGCUGUGCCAGGCACUAGGAACACGGAAAAGAGCAACUGUCCGUGUCAAGGAGCACAUUCCAAGAAGAGAAGAGGAUCCAUAAGGGGGCAUUCCCAACUCCUUGCUGGUUUGCUGUGUGACUGUCCGGAAAUAGCUCUACCUCUCUGUUCUUCUGGCACCAUAAGAUGAAGCUGGAUU